rfam:Prevotella sp. CAG:485 genomic scaffold, scf141
GGUGCGGUAGCUCAGUUUGGUUAGAGUGCCAGCCUGUCACGCUGGAAGUCGCGGGUUCAAGCCCCGUCCGCACCG